GUAAGACCAACCAGAGCAGAGAGCAGAACCCAAACAGGCUCCUUCCAGGGUAAGAGUGACAUCUGUCGAUUUGUCUUAGGCUUCUGCAUUAAAGAUUGCGAUCUGGAAAGACAGAUGAAGUAAGGAUCUUCUAAACUUCGAUGAACUGUCUUGAUGGGAGAACGGAGCUCUACAAUUUGCUGCCAGCCAUUGCUGCUGCCUGGACACGCCCCCCAGAUAAGAUAGUAUUUAAGCAUUAGUAUUUGCAUUAAAGAUCACAACCAACCAACAAACUAAAUAACUUGAAAGCUGUCAAAUCUACAUUCUUAAGAGGUAAAACAGGCACAUAUAAAAAGGGAAUUCAAAGAAACCAGAAAAUAUCUCACAUUAAAGCUAUGAAUACCUAGAUCAAUGUAUUCUCUCUCAGCGGGAAGUCUAGGGAUUAAUCAGGGCGAACGUUGUGAAUUCCAGAGAAGGCUCAUUCUUUCUGCCUCACAGCUGGUGGCAAUGAGGAUAUUGCUACAUGAAAGCAGCCCUGUCGGAUACCAUCAUCUUUACUUGAGCUUCAACAUUCCAGAGGAAGAAUUGAACUCAUUUGCUAACUCCCACCCCUCCCCUCCAAAUCAACCUACUCUUGCCUGGCACUAAAGGAAAACACAUCUGUCUGCAAUGUCUUUUUUUGAGAGUGGUCCACAGAAUGGCACUCCAUACUCAAGGGCCCAAUACUGAUCCAUGGGGGACUCCACUGAUUAACUUUGUCCAAUCUGAGAUCUGAGUAUGAUCCGUUUACUACUACAUGUUGCUUCCUCUCCUUUA